ACUGGCUGGCUGCAACCCCUCUCUGGCUUCUUUAGGUGACAGCAUCCCUAUGGGAAGGUGGGUCAGGGUCAUGAUGGCAGCUAGACACCAGCAGUGCUGGAGACACUAAGGUCAAGCAAGCUGAAGUCAGCAUAGGUCUCGGUGGAGAGAGGGUUAGGUCAGACAUGCAGGGAAUGAAAUUGGCAGAUCUGAUCUGGCAUUAGGCAGCAUUAUGGACCUAGCCCUGCAUCGGCAGGUGUCAGAAAACAGGACUGGAAUCAAAUGAAGAAUACACAGGAAGAUCAGUAGCUUCAAUAAGGAGCCCCUAUAGACUGAGGCCUUUCACCCAGGGCAAUUCAGAUCUAUUCAGUUGGCCCUGUCCCAGGUGGAGACUUACUGAUCUUAAAGCUCCCUUAUCUGCCAAGGAGAAUCCAUUUCCCUUCAAAGGAAAGGCCUCUCCUUAUCUAGCCCGUGUGUCUUUAGUAAGUGAAUAAGAGGGGAGGAGUGUAGAGCUCGACUUGGGAUUCUCCCAGGGGUGUUGUUCUAGCAGAUGUCGCUGCAUCGGCCCUGGGGACUGCAGAGAUAGCGAGAUUGGAUGAGGGAAGCAAUUAUUUUUCCUCUGUUGGGCUUCUCCUUUUGAGAUCAAAUCACCUAUAUGGAGCUAAACGGAGAGUUUGGCCUACAACAUACUGAUACUUCCCAUUUUCUAGUUUUCUACAACUCAUCCUGUAUUGCCAAAUCUCUCCUGCACGUCAUCAGAUAAACCUUCCCGAAAUGUGGUUUUCAUGAUCUCAAUGAAACUUUCAUGACUUUUCAUUGCUGUGUGAAAGAUUCCAACCCACUUAGGCUAAUAUUUAAGAACCUUUCCUAUCUGACCCCAACCGAGCUCAUUAUCCCCAACAUAGAUCUGGGACCCAGUGAAACUGUUCCUUGAGUACUCCACAGCAAUUCCUGUCUUUAUGAAUUGUUCAUUUUGCUAUUACCCACUAAGAAUGCCUUCCUUCACCCCUCCUCCACCUACAUGAAAUUCUAAAAUAAAUGCUUCUAUGGAACCCUACCUGUUCCAUACAGUCUCCUCUGAUCACUCUUCAACUCUCUCAGACCAGUCUGGUUCUUGGAUUUCUUUCCAUAAUAUCUAACUGGAUUUGGUGAUUUCUGAUGAGUGAGAGUGAGUGAAAAGAAAGCAAAAUAUAAAAGAACAAUGUGGAAGAACUGUAGUUCCCUGAAGUAAGUGAUUGGAUCUUCCUCCAAGGAAUGAGUACUUUUGAACAUUAUGCUUUGCUUUGGCCUAUAGAGUAUCAAAUGGCUCUGUUUCUCAACAUGGAAGUUGUUCAAGAUUCACUGGGGAUAUUUUUGCACCAUUGACUUUGAACAGAUUUCAGGGGCUCAUGUGGUAGAGCAUUCUCAGGGCAUGCUCAUGGUCUUGAGUCCAGGACAUUCUCAGUACUUGUGGCUAUCAGUUUUCUUUCUAUGUAUGCAGACACAACUUACAUAAUUCUGGUCUCAAAGGUGUUUCCAGGACACUUGACCAUCAGUGGGAUGGCACAUAUUAGGAGCAGGAUAACUAGAGAAAAAUUUGGACAGUCCAUACUUUAAACUCUGAAAUUACUAUCUUGAGAAAGACACAAGAUAGAAGGCCUUGGGGGUGUGGUCUAGGACAGUGAGUUGGCUCUGUGGUAUAAAGUCCUCAUGAAAACACUAAGAUAAAAUUUAGAUCUCUAGACAUGUUUGCAAUGCAUACUCUAUAAACGCAGAUCUCAUAUAGGAAUAAUGGGAAUUGACUAACUUUCCACAAUCUUGAGAAAGAUGGACUUUAUCUGGAGGAGUCAGAAGCAUCCAAAUAUAAAAGGCAUUAUAUAAAUGGUUUCCUUAAUGCAGCAAAUGUUCCACGAGUAACAUCUUCCUGCAGAGUUACAUCAAAUGGGAAUCGAGCUGCAUACUUUCUUAGCAUCUUAGGCCACGAUACCCUGUGUAUUUAACUCAGAACUAUUUAAGCUAUAAUAGAGCAUCCUUAAUGGAUCAUUUGGCAUAUGCGGUGAUGCUUACAUGAAACAAACUUCUAAAAAAUUUAGACUAAACCUUUUAGAAGUCCCCACUAGGGAGCAUAGUUGUAUUGAAAGGUAAUAAAAUUUGUGACAUCAGAAGCCUUUUGUUAGUCUCUUUUAGAAAGCAAUCUUUUUUUUUAAUUUCCCUGACUUCAUUUUCUUUUUAUUUUUUUAAAGAAAAUUUAUUAUUUAAUUAAACAUUUUCAGAUGCAUUUAUUUUUCCAGAAAUCCCAUAGAAAGCUCUAACAGACUCUCAUGGUUCUCAUCCAGCUCAAGUUACAUACAAACGAUAUUUUAUCUAGAUUUCCUCACCCCUUAUUUUUAUACAUAAAGAUAUUUGUAAUGGUGGGGUGGGGGUGACAUAUGCUGCACAUUAAAAUUAAUUUGCAUUUUAAAGAAAUGUUCCGUGGCUGAGUUGUAACAAUUGGAAAUAGAUUUCUAUUCCAACACCAUUAGUUAUAAUAAUUAGUUUUUAAUAAACUCUGGUCUUGACAUAUCAUUAAUUAGUAUAACUGAAUUUAAAAGUCAGCAUUUCAUGUUACAUAUGUGUAUAUAUGCAUUUAUUUUAUUAUGAUGAAACUGGAAUAUUCUCUUUUUCAUUAUUUUGAGUAGAGGCCAAUAGUAUGCAAUACAAAUCUAAAAGAAUUUAGCAAGCAAAUUAUUCCACAUAACUCUGUAUUUCUAUUUGUAUGAAGAAAGUUUGAUGACCCUUAUGCCACACAGGCUUAAGUUGAAGACAAAGUGCAACCAGAGUGUUCCUAUAAAAAUUUUAAUGACCCAUUUAGGUGAUUGUAGCUGCAAUUAUAAGGAAUAUUGUCCUUCAUAUUUCAUUUGCUCAUAUAUAUACAGCAAUUUAUUUUGUAUACAAUCUGGACACAUAACUCAAUAAUUAUGACAUAGUUACCCAAAAAUAUCUGGACUAUGUGAAUUAAAAAAUGUUCUUAAUAACCUUGUAUUUCUUUAUGAAAAACCUAUAAAAAGGAAUGAUUGCUUUUCAGAGAGGCAAAGGAUAAUCAGAGAGCCCUGAGGGGGACAAAUCUCUUCUCUUGGCUUUGCUUGGGACUCAUUCAUCUGUUGCCUUCUUCUUGCCCCGCUAAAGUGACCCAAGAGGCUCAUACUUCAUUUCUGUUGGGGAGCCCAACACUUACACCCUUUAAGAUGAACCCUGCAACUUCUUACAUAAGGCUUAGUUCAAUUAACACCAGGGUCAAGAUUGGAAUUCUUCCUCAGAGCAAGUUACUAGGUUAAGAUUCUAGAGUCAGAGAGCUCAGUGAUCCUUUGAAUAUCUUUCUGUAAAUGAAUAUGGCUCCCUUUAAGUCUGGAGCCCAGAGAAGAUUUUCUGGGUAAAGAGUUGAUACUUUAAUGGCUGCCUUCAUUGAUCUAUUUACCUAGCACUUAAGUACUUAAGUAAUGCUUACUCUUUGCCAGGUGCAUGCAAAAUGCCUUACACAUAACUAACUCAUUUCAUCCUCACAAGGACAUAAAGGUACUGUCACUAUUCCCAUUUUACAGAUAAGUAAGUCACAUGCCAAAGGUCACAAAGCUGCAUGAGGGCAAAGCCAGGAUGUGAACCCUCCAGUAUCUGAGCUACAAUCUCUGCUGACAUUAUACCAUUCUGAGCACUUCAGUCACCCUUCUGAAACCUAAAUGGUUGCAUAUCCUAGCUGGUGUCUCCUGAAGGAUGCUCCUCUAGAAUCAUCGUGCUCUUCCAGGAGAAGUCCCACAAACUCAUAGGCACCACUACCUUCCCCACCUUGCACCUUAUAAUCCAGUGCCAGUGAACAUCUCACUGUCCCUUAACUCCCUGGACUUUCUUAGACCUCUGUGCCUUUAUACCUCUCCUUUCUUCCCUCUUAUAGGAUGCUUUCCUCCUCUUAUGAAUUAAUAAGACAUUCUCCUAGUCACCUUUCAAGGUGUUGCUCACUUGUUACCUCUUCUGAUCUUCCCCAUCUUCACCAGACUUAGGCACAAAUGCUGUGUACACACAUACAUGUACCUGCACCCCUCCCUCCAACACUUCCCAUUUGAUUAUGGCCCUCUUGUGUCCCCUUGCAGCCUGGUUUGAAUCAUUUUAGACUGAAUCUAGGUAUGGAGUUUGGCUCAAUAAGCUCUGGAGCCCAAUAAUUCUGGGUCAUAAGUGUGGGGCCCAGUGAAACCCUAGAGAAUUCCUAAAAUCUGACCACCCUUGAACAAUGGCUUGUUACCAUUCUAUGCCUGGCAAAUGCCUUCUUAGAUGGGUCAGCCGAUUAGUUGAAACAGCUCUCACAACUGUAAUAAAUUGUUCUGGGACAUAGUUUUCCAAAUACAUGUGUAUCAUGAGAAAGACCUAACUGUGCUAACUUUGAAAGGCAUUGGAAUUUAUGGGAAUCUGACCAAAAUACUAAAAGCAAAAGCAAAAACAAAAAAAUACCAAAAA
rnacentral:lncRNA from 1 species